AAUUUUCAUUCUCUUUCUUUCUAACCUUUCAAAAAUUCUGUGAUGAGCAACAUCAUGGCUUCUCACCAUCUCCUUCCUUGCCUGACCCUCCUAAACUUGGCUGCUCUACUUUCUAUAGCUUUUGCCUCCAAGGUCUCCUUGAAAUCAUCUGUCAUGUACCCUUUUACGUGCUCCAAGAGCAUCAAGACAUGUAAUGCCUCGUUAUACCACAUCAAUUAUGGCCUUGACAAAGUACAAAUCUCCACCUUUUACAAUAUAAACUCAUCCCAGCUCAACCCCAUUUCCCAUGGAAACAAACAAGAUUACCUUCUCUCAUCAGUGCCUUGUUCCUGAAAAGAUGUUGAUGGCUCUGAUGCAUACUUCUACCACACAUCCUAUAUAUAUAGUUCAACAGAAUGAUACGUUUAUAAAUGUUUCAACUCAGAUAUACAGUGGACAAGCUACGGAGGACAAAAGUCAUUUAUUGUAGGAAACAAAGUGCUCAUGCAUCUGUUAUGAGGGUGUGUAGAAAGUGACACUCAAAUCAUAGUAACAUAUACAGUUCAGCAAAACGAUACUUUAUCAGAUAUUGCCAUUCAGCUAUCUGCUAAUGUAAGUGAUAUAGUAAGGAUCAACAGAAAUUUGAUUCAAAACCCAAAAAUCAUAGAUGUUGGGUGGGUGUUCCAAGGGCAAAAAAGAUGUGACUAAGAUUUUGGUUCAAUCAAGACCUUAUAUCCUAAUUUAUGUAUUUGAAACGUUUGCUUCAUAAUUAUCAAGCUACAACCAAGAAAUGAUACCGUUAAGGUAUUAUGUGUGAGCAAUUUUUUGGGCCUCCAUAUGAAUUACUUCUAAUAUUUGAGCUGUGUACCAUGUUACUUUCAACCGUACAGAACUAUUUAUUUAUUUAUUUGUCUUAAUUACCUUAAAUUGCCAUCUUUAUCUUAAACAUUUUCUUUAAACAUCAUGAGACCUUCAUUUUUAUCAUUCAUGAAAAUCUGUUUCAGCUUCUUGUCUAUCUCCCUUUCCAAUCAUGUGAAACUUACAGGAAGCUUAGCUUUACAUAAACUAAUGCUUUGGGCAAGAGAACUCAAAUGAAACUUAGAAGUGGUAAAAUGAUGUAUCCAAAAUUCCUGUACGCAUGGCAUCUGACAUUACAAAUUUAACACAGCUUCUACGCGUUAACAACCCACUAACAGAAAGAAUUAAUCAUUCAAAAUCGAAAAUCUGGUCAAUUAUUAAAAUCUCUGAGAUUUUAGUUACAUGGAUAAAAGUAAAACUCAAAGGAUAUUUUGUGUAAUUUUCCCAAGAAAAAUUCUAGCAGUCUUAGUUCCAAAGGCAGCAGAUAUCAAACGCUUAAAACAUUCGGUUGGGGUACUACUUAUCUGAUCACCAUAAGUUGUACAAAUGGACAGAUCAACUUAACCUGAGAUCUAACCUCUUUCACUGAUCCUGGUUAAGACAUUGACAAUAAAUAGAAAUUGUCAAAUCAGCCCAUCCAGUGUUGUCUGAACGUCUUGGGCAUUGCAGCUAGAACUUUCAAUCAUUCUCAGACUCUUCAAACAAGCUUAUGCCUACACGUCAUAUAAAGCAUUGAACAUUACUUUUUACUGCUUUAUAUUGUUGUCAAAAAGCAAGCAAAAUACAAAUUUAGGUUUUGGAUUCAAGGAUAUCAUUCCAUGACUUAUCAUCCUCUAGUAUCCAUAACACUAUAUGUAUGAUAUUUAACUAGGUUCCCUUGAUGUGGGGAGGCUUCCCAUAUGUAUUCAUGCUCAAGCAUCUUAAGCUUUUCAAAUUGAAUGUAAAACAACGUAAAAUAUAAAACCCCAAAUAGCACCUUGAAUGAAAUUAAGGUUAGAUACUUCACACCGUGUAUUCAAGCAGAACCCCUUCUCAAGCGAUCAAGGAUCUGCAGUCAUUAACAAAUAGCAACUAUUAUCACUUUGCUAAUAGAAAACAGUCAAAUCAGAUAUAUUCACAACGCACUAGUCAAUAUGUGCACGCAUAGAUACAUAUUUGUGCAAGUUUUCUUGUGAUUAGCAAGAAGGGGCAUUUAGAAAGUGAUAUCAGCUAUUUAUUAAUUGAAGAUAGGCAACAACUACAAUAAUAUGGAUCCUUAGAAGUGAAUCUCCUAAUAUAUCAUCAAGAAAGUGAUAAAAACUUAUAGUCCUACGGACUAUAUGUUGUUCCACACAUUGAUUAGUGUCCUCAAAAAAUUGGAAAAGAAACGAUCUUUCAUGCUAUCACGUAAAAAAGAAGUACAAUGAGGUAGUCAAAAGAAGUUCAUCAACAUACCAUGACAGGAUACUGUAUAACCCAUCCAAAAACUGGAAUCUGACAGAGGAAGACCCUGACAGAAGGCCAAAAGCCACUAAAAGAAGAACAAAAUGCAACAACAGUUAGAAGCAGCAUAAGCAAAUUAUCCUAUUUAAGCUCAUGAUGAGAUGAGAAACUAACCCAAAAAGAACAAUGCAACCAUAUAUCUCCAAGAUUAUACCAACUAUCGGCCAACGAACAAAUAAGAAAAAGAGACCCAGAAGAAAAGAAGCAGAACCCUGCAUAAGAAAGGAGAAGAUUAAAAAAGGAGAGAGAGAGAUGAAAUUACAUAAAUCUACAUCCAAUACGAUACAUUUCAAUUCUUCAAUAUAUAUAAAACAUUUGAGAACAAAGUAGUUCUUGUAAGAACAAGUUAGUGUUAUAUCCUAUGUUAAAUAUGGUUAGACUUUUUAAUGGCCUUAAAUUCAGGUAGCAUUACCAUCUCUUAACAUUUGGUUUUAGGUUCUAUGCUUAACAUGACUUAAAAGCUCAAGUUUCAAUUGCCUGGUUUCAUAGUUCAGAUGAUAACCCUGUUCUUCUUGAUUGUUCUAAUAAGCCCACAUGUGAGAUUGUGUUAUGUAGUGCUCUCACAUCAGUUGCAUUUAGGAGUCUAUAAUGGCCUUUCAUUCAGGUGUACCUCCAAACCUAUAUCUAAUGAUAGGAGCUCUAUUUUCAUUUUGUUUGAGAUUUGUUGUCACUUCAUCUCCAAGUUGACAGUGUUUACCUAUUGUCAAAUGUCAAUAUUUGCUAUCUAUGCAUAGUUCAUAGAUAGUUCUAUUCAUCUCAUUAUUUUAUUCCUUACACAUAAAUAGAAGUUUCAAGAGGGGUUAUAUCCCACAAUGCAAGUUUCAAGUUUCUAAAGUUCUUAUAUUUGGUUGGCCCCUCCAACCCAUAACUAAUUGCUUUUAGGUUUCAACCCCCACUACGUGGUUGGAAGAAGGGAAAAGAAAAAAAAAUGAGUAAGUAUGAGAAAAAGUAGGAAUUAGUUGUUUUUAAGUGCCCAGUAAACCCCCCCCCCCCCCCCCCCCAAAAAAAAAAAAAAGAAGAAAAUUUAAAAGAUAAAAUAAAUUGAAAUGGAGGAGUGGGACACAAAUUUUUUUUAAGAAAGAAAAAUGACUAAUAUAAUCAUAUAUUUAUUUAUUUAUUAUUAUUUUAUUUGGAUUUUAUGUAGUCUUCCAACUAAACUAACAUCUCUCAACUUGUGACACUAACUCAAUCAAUGGCUUCAUAAAUUAGUAUAGAUGCUUAACAAGCAAAACUAUUACUUUCAUGCCAAAUAAAAUACUGCUAAAUGAUCGAUAAAGAUGGAGCUAAGUCCUAAUCUGCCACAAAUACUUGGAUGGCCUUCAUACUCCAUAACAUACACUUCCUUAUCUAGAGGAGACAUCGCAUAUAUUUAUAGAGAAUACAAUUAGUAGAGAAACUUUUGAGGCAUUGAAGCAGGGUUGAAGCAAAUUGGAAAGAGCACCAUGCCUUUUAUCAGCCAAAUUAAAACUAAUACCUAAAGAACGCAAGGCCACUUCCAAAGUCUUGCAUAACAAUAGUAUACAAAGCAACUGCUUAAAAAUGCUGUUAUGAUAGAAGAAACCAAGCAUAAAUGAUACAUCAAGAUGUUCCUAACUUUCAUUAGAAAGCCCAAAAAACAAGGCUUUUACUAAGUGGCCCUAUUGCUAUACAGGUUGAUCUGAAAAACUAAGACUGCAUGAUAAUCUUCAGAUAGGAUAAGGAUUUUCUCAAGUCCACAAACAUGGUGCUCAUGCCACUGAAGGUAUCAAAGACCUUUCAUGAAUGAUUUAUUCCAAAGAAUAAACAUGAAGAAAUUAAAACCAUUGUAAGAAUUAUGGACCUAGUGAUUGGCACAAGGUUUUGGUAUUGGAUACCUUGUAGUUUUUCCUGUUAGUGAAAAGCUGCAAAGUAGAAUACCAACCGAUCAAAAUUGCCACCCCUGCUAAGCAAAAAAUCUGAUUGCAUAAUGUCAGAAAGUUAGAGUACUGAAAUAUAAUAAAAAAAAUUAUCAUAUUAUGUCAUAUAAUCUACAUCAAAAUAUGUAGUUUCUAAAGAAAGCCUUACAUUUCCUAGAGCAAGUAGACCCCUGUCAAAGAAGAGGAUUACACCAAGAAAUGAGAAGAAGAUACCAAAGCCAAUAAGACCCAAGCCAAUCUCUGCAAAAUUAGGCCAAAAUUUCUCAUAUUACAAGCCAAAGUUAAAUUAACUAAUUAAAUAUCUCAAGAGAAAAUAGAAAUAAUUACAGUCAAACAAGUUCAGUGAAAUAUAAAUUUUGUUCAAGUUACAUGGUGAAUUUGAUACCCAAUAAAACUUCACUUCAUGUGUGCUUAUGACCAACUACCCGUCCAUACAUUCAAAACCAGAAGACUGCUCAUAACCCAACAUCAAUGCUUGACACAAUGCAAUCAAAUGUAGGUUCAGUCACUUUAUGACAGCCUACUUUUUUGCAUUCUAAUAAGUUCACAUAAAAUUCAAAGAAACUACAUCGUGCUUAAAUCAUACACUAGGUGAGGUAGUAUGAGAAAUAUAAGUAGAAGAUUCUAUGACAUUGGAAUUUAAGAAAAUGGAAUUUGGAUGUUAAUUUAACUGCAUUUGAAAAGAACCAUAAUUUAAAACAAAACUAUCUUCAUGAAGACAGACAAAUGCUCUUUGGUGAAGCCUGCAUACAUCAAAUACCCAAUCACAUGAUAAUUACAUCCAGUGAAACAAAAUUAUUCUACACAAUUUGCACAUUGGCGCAUGUCUAAUCACUGCAAAAGAUAUAAUGUUUCAAUAAUCCAUAUCAAGCAUGGUAAGGCCACUGUGUGCAAAGUCCAAAUGAGCUCAUAUUUACACAAGAAAACUAUGCUUACUUUUUUGCUCAGUUAUUUCAUACACCAUCUUGAAAUUAUCAGCUGCAAUCCGGAUAGGCGUAAGACCUGUAGGAAGUUCAACUAAUCUACAACAUGAAUGAGAAUUGAAGUAGGAUUCAGGAAAUCAUAUAUUGGCAAUAAAUUAAAACCAUGUUACGACAAAUUUAUGUGUAGUUUUGAGAGUAAGUUGAAUUGAUGUUUAUGAACAAAUCAAAAUCCCCCAUAAUAAUUCAAACAAAUUAACAAGUUACCAAAACAAAUUAUUUAAAAAAUAAAUACAAACAUUUCCUCCUUUAGAUUCACAUGCACAGAAAAAAAUCAUGUAACAAAGAAAAAGAAAAGAAAAGAAAACAAUUCAAGAUAAUAGAAAAAAAAUAUAAAUAUAAACCCAGAAACACUAAAGACUGAUCAAUUGAAAAUCAACGGAAAAAGAGAGUUUACCCUUCAGCAAAGCAAUGAAAGCCGGUCGCUGCUUCCCUGGAAGGCUGAAGCAGAGCUCCGCUACCGAUUGUUUUGACUUCAUUGAAAACGGUCCGUUUAAUGAAUCAUGAACAAUUGCAGGCUUGGGCUUGUAAUUAGAUCCGCUACAAAUGGACCAUUAAUUAAAAGUCCAAAGCCUAGGUUGGGCCUAGAAUCCAAUGUUAAUGCUAGCCCAGUGUUCGGUCAGCUCCUCCAUUGCAAAGAGAAGAAGAAAUCAUGCUAUGACCAUGAACGCUGCCAAAAUCAACAUCAUGUGUCCCAAAAUCAAAGUGAAACUUGCAAUCGCUGCUCAAACACAUUGGUUAAAAGUAUUCAUAAGUACCUGCGCUUUGGGUUUUCGUUAAUUUAGCUUCUUUAUUUUAAAAUUAAUUAAUUUAAUUUUUAUACUUUAAAAUUUUAUACAACUGAAUCUCACUCGUUAAUAUUUUAGUAAUACUGUAAAAUAAAUACUGUAAAUAAUUAUUACUGUACACACUCAACAAUCAUUUUAUCUUAGCUAGAUAAAAAACAUAGUUUAUUUUAUCUAUGAUAACUUUAAAGAUUGAUUUUAGAGUGCUCGUCAGCAAUUAAUUAACAAUGCAUUCCUUUCAACUUCCUAAGGCUAGGGGAUGGAAGUCGGAUAAGAUUUCCAUUCAUUAUAAUUAUUGCUUACUAUAAGUUAAUUUGACAAAUUGUGUUUUUGUAUUUUAAACAUGUUAGAUACGAUUACAUAUGAAACACAUUAAAUUAAAAAUGAAUACGACAUGAAUAAUAUUCGUAUCUUAAAUGUAAAACACGUAUAUAUAUACGUUUAAUAAUCGUAUAACACAACAUGACAUUAUUAACACACUUGUUAAAUGUGUCAAUAUAUGACAUGACAUGAUUAAUAAUAUGAUGAACUCAAUUAAAUAAAAAUAUUUAUAAUUAAAUAUAAUUUUAUUAUUUAAAUUUAAAACUAAUAAUUAUAAAAAUAAUUAUAACCAAAUAAAAUAAUAAUAACAACAUCAAAUAUAACAAAAUAAAAAUUCAAAAUUAGGCUUUGGACAUGGUAUAAUUGCAUUAUUGUUUUUAUAAAAUUUAAAAAACUUAUUAAAAUUAUUAUUUAAAAUUAUUUAAAUAAGGUUAAAACAGUAUUUGAUUAUUAAUUUUAACAAGUUGAUAAGCAUGCCACAUAUACAUGUUUAAAUAUAAUAAUACAAUUAAACACGUAUAUAUAUUUAAAUACAAUAAUACGAUUAAUUAAACGUACUUAAAUGUAUUUUAAACGUGUUACUUGUGUCUGACACAUUAAGAGAUAAAAUACGUUAAAAUUAAAUUCAAACUUAUUUAAUCUCGUAUCUCCUUAUAUCGUAUUAACGUGUUGUGUUCAAAAUUAAUAAAUCUAACUAAACAAAUAUUUGAACCUCUAGUGGAGCUCUAAACCCCAUAAAUAAUGACCAUGAUGUCAGUUUUGCUGGGGGGUUGGUGCAAUGCACCUUGUAAAAGAAGCUUGUUUUUCUUUUAUUGAUUUGUGUACAUAAAAAAAAGGAAAAACAAAAAAAUUGGCUAAAGCCCAAGCUGGGAAGUCAUUAUCAUCAUCAAUAACUUAAUUGAAUCAAAUAUGACUUGAGUAAAAUAGCUCAGUUCAAUUGAUUUAUUGAAUUUAUUGAUUUUAAAAAGUUUCAUCUAAUUGAUUCAUUUAAUCGGUUUUCGAUUUUAAAAUUUUUAAACCGAGCUAAUCAAAAGAUUAAAUUAAUAUUAUAUAUCAUUUUUAUAUUUAUAUAAAAUUUAAAUUUUAAUAUUAAUUUUUAUAUUUAUAUUUUAUAAUUAUGAAUAAAAUUUAUAUAUUUUAAUAUUGUAAUUUAAAAAAAAUGAUCAUUUUGAUCCAAAAUGGAACCAAUUCAUGUUUGAUCCUUUUGAUAUUUUCUUAUAUUUGGUCAAUUUUGAUCAAUUUUUUAAAAAUAUUUGCUUCAGUUUAUUUUUAAAUAUAACGAAUCAAACCGAUCAAACCAUCCAAUUGCUCACUCUCUACUCUCAGGGCAUGCUUAGUUAAGGAAAAUGGAAUAGUCAUUCCUCCUCUAUUCUCAUUAUUGAGAUAAAGCUGUAUUUGGUUCAAUAGAAUGGUUAUUCUUCAGAAUAACCAUUUCAAGAGAAACUUGAAUAGUCAUUACCAAUACCUCUAUUGGUAAUAACUAUUAUAAAUUGUCAAAAAUAAAAAAAGAAGUUGAUUAGACAAAUAUACAUUUUUACAAUUUAAAAAAUUACCUUAUAAAAAAAUACUAAACCUUUUUUUUUUCUCCCUCUUCCUCACUCCUUCUCUCUCUAAAGCACAAAAGACACAAAAUUUUUUACUUCGUUUUCAAAAAAAGAGAAAUGAAAAAAUUUAAAUAUUAUUUAAUAUAUUAAUAUUAUUUCACUAUAAUAAGUAUUAUAAAGUAUAUUACUUAAUAUUAUUAUUUGAAUAUAAUAAAUGCAAUAAAGAAUAUUAUUUAGUAUUAUUUAAAUUUAAUGAAGAAUAUAUUUUAUCUUUAAUAUUAAAUAUUAUUUAAUUAUAAUAAACGGUUUAAUUAUUUUAUAAUAUAAAAUAUUAUUAAAUUAUAAUAAAAAUAUGUUUGUAUUUUGGUGAAAAUAUUAUUUAAUUAUAGUAAAAGUUAUUUUAAUUUUAUUACUCAAAAUACUUUUAUCUUUUAACAAAAUAAAUUCUUUAAUUUUAAUAAAGAGUAUUUAUUUCUCAUAAUAGUUUUUUUAUUUUUAAUUAAAAAAUAUUUAAAUUUUAAUAAAAGGUACUUGUAUCAUUUACUUAUUAUUUUUUAACCAUUUUUAAAAUUAUUCUUACUAACCAAAUAAUGAAAUAAGUAAUAAUAGUAAUUUCUAUCUUAUUUUAUUUUCAUGAACAAUCUACAUAAUAAUUAUUUUUUCUCUAUUAUAUUCUCUUGAAAUGAUGAUUUUAUUUUCAUUUUAUUUUUUUCAAUGAACCAAGCAUGCUAUCAAUCUCAUUGACAGCUGCUUUGACAUAUUCUUCGGAGUGCCAAACUUGUUAUGGUAGAAAAGGGUCCGACCAUGGCAAAUAAGCCUCCUUUAUAAAUUCUCCCAUCCCAUGGAUCAUCAACACCAUUAUAAUAAAUUGUCGCCUAAAGAUAUUUGAGCGGUGGCUUUCUUCAACCAAAUUGGUCAAAGACAUAGGCUGGGUCCGUCUUUGCCAGGAUUUGGGCUUUUCUGGCCUAACUAAAGUUUCUGUCCACUGUAGAGCCCAAAAGAUAUUGGGCUUUAUCUCUCAACUAUUAGUGGAAGAUUGCCCAAAACAUUUGGGCCAAAAAGCAAAAGGGCAAGAAAAUUUGAAUACAGAGUCGCACAACUUGCCUCAAAACUACUUAUAAACCAUAUUCCUCCUUUCCUUCCGUUUCUCCAACUUUCUCUUCUCCCCUUUUUUUGAAUUUGUUUCAAUCAAGAUCAUAUUAUUGCGGCUUUUUUUGGGGGUAGAAGAAAGCUCUUUUGUCAUCGAAAUCAUUGAUUGGUACCUUCUCUCUUUACCCCUUUGUUUAAUUUUCUUUUCCAAAUUUUAUUUUACUAUCAGUUGCAUGAAAUUUUCUAUUGUUAAAUUUAAAUAUCGCUGGGGAAUUGUAAUAAAACCAUAUGAAAAAUGAAUUAAUAAAUGUGGUUUUUCAAUGCUAAUUUGGAUGUUUUAGUUUGCUUGUAAAAACAUUUAGCUAAUUCUGUUUCUUCGCGUCCGUAUUAAUUUUUAUGUUAUUGGCAACGGUGUAAUAUUGGUAAUCUGCUACGUUCAAAGAUAUGGAUGUUACUGUCUUAGGCAUAACCUUUCAAGUUAAAAUGAUCUGCUUCAACUUUUUACUCGCUUUUAGAAUCAAUAUGAAUUUGGGUUGUUGCUUUUGCAAGCAAUUAAUGUCAUUUGAAAGCAUAGGUCUACUGGGGUUGGACUCUUAUUCUAGGUCGACUUAAAAUCCGGAUAGUUUCCGUUAUCAAGUUUAGGUUGCAUCUUGCUUCAGUAACCUCUAUCUAUUACUCUUUUCCUUACUUUGAUGUUUUAGGGUAUAACUGUUUCUGUUACAACAGUUCAUCAUAGGAUCCCGAAGCUUUUAUCUUCUUGAACCUUGGCUUCUUUAGCAUAUUUUUGGUUGUGAGACAUUGGAGAGGAAAUGAAUUUAAAUUACUAGAUAGUAUUAAACUUUAUGUUUAUUAUUGAUUUUAUUUUAAGAAUUUAUCUUGAUCUCAAAUGAGUUGAGUUACAUUAUGGUUUGCUCGGUUGGGGUGCUUAGUUUUCCCAAACAACCAAAUUGAGCAUUAAAAUGAGUACCUGUUAGAAUAGUUAUGUUUGUAUCAUUAGUGUAUGGAGAGAGAAAGAGAUCAGGCAACUCAAUUUCCUUGCUAGUUAUUGCUGUAACAUUCUGAAAUUUUAAUUGAUAUUGAUGUGAGACAAUGUUUUGUAAUAAAAUGUCAAGAUAUUUAUUCCAAGCUAAGCUGUCUAAUUUGAGGAGAUGUAAGCAAUAUUCCUUCCGAUUCUUUGGCCUUAUUCUACAAAUUUGUGGAUCGCUGAUAAGAAGUGGCCUUUUUAAACUUUAAGUAUAGGAGUGAAAAGGUCAAAAGACCUUACAACCUGGAAAUGCAACUUUUAGGUUAAAGAAUCAAUUUGGAAUAAUUUAAAUUGUUUACAAGGUUUAAUAUAGUUCGCAAUCAGCUUUGUUGAACUGUCUUGUGGUUCUUUGGGUUUUGAUUCGGUUUGGUGUUGUGCUGGUACAUAGAUUUUAAGAAUUCUCAGAUUUGAAACGCUAUCUACUUGCUUAAGACAGGUAAAAAUUACAAAAGAAAAAAACUGUUUCUUUCCAACAGAAAAAAGAACAUAAUGAAACUAAGAACUAAGUUGUUGCUGAUGUUUUGUUUUUCCCAAGACACGUUGGGGUGUUGCGGUUUCACCAUCAAAGGAGAAUGAAAAUUUUAAUGGUUAGUUGUAAAAUUUGUUUGUAAGAAUCUUUGUUGUUUUUGUUCGCCGGUCACUUUAACAUAUCCUGUCUUUCACCUAGGAAAGUUUUAUUGUUGUGUGUGUGUGUGUGUUUUUUUGUGGUUAUCUCUUUGUAUAUGCUUUGCUUGCAGUGUAAGAGCUUAUGGGCAUUUUCUGCUUUUAUAUUCUUUUUGGGUUUUUAGAUGGGUUUUCUUUUCUGGGGUAUGCUUGUAUUUUUGUUAUUUAUAGUUGUGCUUUAUAUAUUUGUCUACUUUUUUGAAGGAAGAAUCAUUGGCCGCACUUUCAUUCUUUUUUGGAAGAGAAAGAAGAUAAAGGAUGGGAAGAAGAUUAGGAGUUGGAAGGUCCCCUUCCUCCUCCUCCUCUGUGCUUAACCAAAAGAUUCUCAGCCGUCGACUCUUGUCAUGCCAGCAGUAUGCUGGUUCCACAGUCGAUGAAAUUGUGGAGCUCCUUCAAACUAACUACCCUGAUUACAGACGCAUCAAGAAGCAACCUUUAACCAGGGUGGUCAAACAGGCCCUACAAGCUCUUCAGUCCUCUUCCAAAAACAGCCAAAAGGCCUCUCUUUCCGUUUCUGAUUUCAACUUUGAUGAUGAUGGACACAAUGAACUUGCCAUUGCACCUUUUUCUUCUUCUCCUCCUCCUACCUGUUCUCGGAAGAAGCCAAGGAGAAUGGAUGAGACUGAAGAAAGGUUACAGCGUAUGGAGGAUUUGCACAUUCAAAGGCGACAGAUGCAGCACAACUCCAACUCUGAGUUAGACUCGGAGUCAUCUUCUUCUUCAUCAUCGUCUUCAUCUGAAGAAGAAGAAGAUGGGGCAGUUUCGACUUCGGAAGAUGCCAUUUAUGGCCAAAAAGACGAGCCCAAGUUUGAUUUAAUGAAAUCAAUGCUACGACAAGGUUACACUCAAUCCAACAGCUCAAUAUCAAAGCUUGAAGAAAAAAAUAUUGAAAUGGAGAUUGCAACUAAUAAGCCUAAGAGUAAGAUUGAUAUGACCAAUGCGAACAAAGAGAGUGCUGAAUUGAAAAAGGAAACAAAGGUUUCAGUUUCUGUAGGCGCUGCUGCUGAUGGUGUGGAGGUGAAAGGGAUAGAGGGGCCAAGGUUCAGGGAUUUAGGUGGGAUGGGAGGAGUGUUGGAGGAGUUGAAGAUGGAAGUCAUUGUGCCUCUUUACCAUCCACAUUUGCCACGGUGGUUGGGAGUCAGGCCAAUGGCUGGCAUUUUGCUCCAUGGACCGCCUGGCUGUGGGAAGACCAAAUUGGCCCAUGCCAUUGCCAAUGAGACUGGUGUUCCCUUCUAUAAAAUUUCAGCUACCGAGGUGGUUUCUGGUGUCUCAGGUAUUCGCCUUCUGUUAUAAGUCGUGCUGCUGAAUAUGAUAAUUAGGCUGAGCAUGAUUCUUGAAGUUGUUGUGUAGAGUUUGGAUAAAUGAAAUUAUUUCGUUAACAAUGAUGGGAAGCUUUAGUAAAGGCAAUGUGUUUGCUAAUAGUUUAUAGUUUCAUAUUUAAUUUCUCAGGUGCAUCAGAAGAAAAUAUCAGGGAACUCUUCUCAAAAGCAUACAGGACUGCCCCAUCGAUUGUAUUCAUUGAUGAGAUUGAUGCUAUUGCAUCUAAAAGAGAAAAUCUGCAGAGGGAGAUGGAGCGCCGGAUUGUCACUCAGUUAAUGACUUGUAUGGAUGAGUCUCAUGGACUUGUGCAACCAAGUGAUAAAGAGUCAAAUUUGGAGAGCUCUGAUUCCAAACCUGGUUAUGUCCUUGUAAUUGGAGCUACCAAUAGACCUGACGCUGUUGACCCUGCACUACGGCGGCCUGGACGAUUUGAUCGCGAGAUUGUUCUUGGUGUUCCGGAUGAAAAUGCUAGGCAUGAGAUCCUUUCUGUGCUUACACUAAACCUUAGACUCGAAGGCUCUUUUGAUCUUUGGAAAAUAGCUAGGGCUACACCAGGGUUUGUUGGAGCAGAUUUGGCUGCCUUGGCUAACAAGGCUGGUAAUCUUGCCAUGAAGAGGAUCAUAGACCAAAGAAAGCAUGAGUUUUCUAGAGAAUCUAUAGAUGAGGAACAAGCUGAUGAGUGGUGGAGGCAGCCUUGGUUGCCUGAGGAGAUGGAAAAGCUCACCAUUACCAUGGCUGAUUUUGAGGUAAUUAAAGCUAAACUUUUUUCUUUUCAUUUAUUUAUAUGAUUAAAAGUAACCUGACAUGUAUGCUUAGUGGCUUACAUGUGUUCUAUGCUAUUAUCUGCAUGUCUGUCAAUGCCAUAGAUAUCAAAGUUGUUUGGGAAAUGAAUUUGUAUUGUCAUUUCUAGAUUCAAUUUUACUACUUGCAAGUUUCUCUUUGACUGCUAUGUGAUAUAGUUUAAUUGCCAUGAUUAAGAGUUCUAAUGAACUAUAGAGUUACACUUGAUGUUUUUAUAAUAGUUUGAAACAAAGGUGUUGUUUUUCUGUAUCUGUUAUACAGAAGUAAUUCCUUCACAUUAGAAAGUUUUAUAUGAAACUUAUGCCCUUUGUUUAUGUAUUUGCUUACUUGAUCAUGCCCCUUUCUUUUUCUCUUUUUUAUAAAGAAAUUGAAAAAUGUUUUACCUGCAGGAAGCAGCUAAAAUGGUUCAACCCUCAUCAAGAAGAGAGGGAUUCUCUACAAUUCCAAAUGUUAAGUGGGAGGAUGUUGGUGGUCUUGAUUUCCUAAGGCAGGAAUUUGACCGUUACAUAGUUAGGCGCAUAAAAUUUCCCGAGGAUUAUGCGGUAAUUAUAGAUAGUAGCUACCUCUUUAUUCUCUCUCUCUCUCUCUCUCUCUCUCCUGUUCCAAAAGGGUUAAGAAUAGACAUAAAAAAUAGAAAUGAUUUAAAAGGAGUAGGAUUAGCCUUCUUAACAUGGUAAAUGGAAGGAAGCCAACCAUGGAAAAAUUGGUUAGAAUGUUUGAAACAUGUCUUACAUGGUCUCCAACUUUGUUGACUUGCAAGCUCAGCAUAACUACAAUCUAGGCCCAUAUAUACUUUGUCAGUCAGAUUGCUAUUAUAAAAUGUGCUUUUCAAAUCUUUGAAUUAUUCACAAUGUCAGGAAUUUGGAGUGGACUUGGAGACAGGAUUUUUGCUUUAUGGACCACCAGGCUGUGGUAAAACAUUGAUUGCAAAGGCUGUCGCUAAUGAGGCUGGAGCCAAUUUCAUUCACAUCAAGGUCAGUCUGCAGCGUAUAUUUCCUCUUGAUUCCAAUUUCUUGUUCACUUUUUGUUUGUUAAAGAUGAUGUUAACUGGUACUUCAAUGCUGUAAGCUAAUUUUUCUAUGUUUGUGUUGCAUUAAACUCUUAACGAUUAUGAGUGCACUUGCUGAUUAGGGUCCUGAACUUUUGAAUAAAUAUGUUGGAGAAAGUGAGCUGGCAGUGCGGACAUUAUUCAGCCGUGCUAGGACAUGUUCACCAUGCAUACUUUUUUUUGAUGAGGUUUGUGGUUCUCUAUUUUUCCAUUUCUAAAUGAAAGAAACAAUUCUGGAGAAAAUAUUACUACUCCUAGUGUCUUGAGAUUUGAUAUUUUUGACGUCUUUCUGAUAAUGUGUAGGUGGAUGCUUUGACCACAAAGCGUGGAAAAGAGGGGGGAUGGGUUGUUGAGCGACUUCUGAACCAGGUUAGAUAAUCUAUAAUGGUGAUCUCUUAACAAACUCAUGAUCAACUUUUUUAUCUUGUCUGUAUAACAAAUUUUCAAAUUGCAAAGAAUGACAUGGAAGCAUUGGUCAUAAUUGCAGUUACUGAUAGAGUUAGAUGGUUCGGAUCAGCGGCGUGGAGUAUAUGUUAUUGGUGCCACUAAUAGGUAGAAUCUGUUGUUUCCAGUUUUUGAACGAGGAUCACCGUUUAUCUUUUCUUUACUCUGUUUGGUUUUGGCAGACCUGAGGUGAUGGAUCGUGCUGUCUUACGGCCUGGUAGGUUCGGCAAACUUCUCUAUGUCCCUCUCCCCAAUCCAGUUGAACGUGGGUUGAUCUUGAAAGCUCUUGCUAGGAAGAAGCCAAUAGAUGCCAGUGUCGAUUUGAGUGCCAUUGGACGUAUGGAGGCAUGUGAUAAUUUAAGUGGAGCUGAUCUUUCUGCACUGGUAUGCCCGCAAUUUGUUUUUUUGCUUGAGUGAAAGUUAAAGAUUGAAAACAUCUUCUGAAACCUUUUGUGGGGCUGGGUUUGCUGCAUUGCUUCAUCGGUAUGCUUGGAGAUCAAUGUCCAUUAACUGCCAUUAGGAAACAACUAACAGAAUUUCUUUCUUUCUUUUCUUUUUGCUCCUUUCGACAGUAUCCAACCAUGUAUACAUAGAAGCCUCGUUCUACAUUAAAGUCCUAGAAAGGACUGGUUUUUCCCUGAAAGACUAAUUUACAUUUUUGAUGUUUCCUCAUUAAAUACUAGACAUGUUAAGGCUAGCCCAGAAAGUAAAAUACUUUGCAAAAGAACCCCUGAUCUGUUUCAUGAUUCUAGACUUGAGCUAUGCCCCUUGUGUGCAUUGUACUUCUAGAAGAACUUAAUCAAAAUUGUAAAAAUUUUAAUCAAAAUUGGGCUUGAAAAUAUUCAGAUGAAUGAAGCUGCAAUGGCUGCUUUGGAAGAGAAACUCACAUCAACUGGGAUCUCAGAUACUUCAUGGACAAUCAAGACAUUCCAUUUUGAACGAGCACUGAGUAAAAUCUCACCCUCAGUCUCCGAUAAGGUAUAUUUUACCUUCACUCACUCAAUUAUGGCUUCUGACGAAUAGAUUCUUGAUAGCAUUGACUAUGUAAAUCUGUAAUUACCCUAUUUUUAAUAUCUUGAUCAUCUGGGAACAGCAAAAGCAGUUCUACCAGGCAUUGUCAGAGAGCUUCAAAGCAGCUUGAGAAGAGACAAAUCCCCUUUGUUAUACCAUUAGCAGGAGCUGUAAUUGAUGUCUGAUACUGAGAAUUGCAUUGCAAAGAAGUCAUUCUCAACAUGAAGAUGGGUGUGAAUUGUUCAACUGUACUCUGUUUAUAUGCUUUUUUGGGCCUAAUAUUGAGUGUUGAAGGAAACUUGCUUCUCUCCUCAUGAGCGAAAAAAAUUUUGUUCCGGCACAUUAAGAUUUUGUUAGUGGUGGAAGUAGUUUGCAGAAAAUACAGCGGAGAAACAUGUAUUUAUCCAUUUUAAGAAAUGCAAGGGGACUUGUUGUAUUAGUUCACCCCUUUUGAGUAAAGGUUCCACCUCAUAAACUACCCUUUUUCCUUUGUUUCGAUCAGGAAAAUUGAAGACAAUUUGACUGCUGAAUGUGGCAUUCUUUUCUGCUGUAUGAAGAACUUGAUAUACCUGUGUAGAUUUAGCUCUAUUUUGAAAAGCUUGAUGUGGCUGUAUAAUUGGAAGUCCAAAGCCAAGGUUGGCCCUAGAAUCGAAUGUUAACACCUAGCCCAGUGGUCAGUCAGCUCCUCCAUUGCAAAGAGAAAGAGGAGAAGGAAGAAAUCACGGUAUGACCGUGAAAGCUGCCCAAAUCAACAUCAUGUGUCCCAAAAUCAUGCAAAGUGGAAAUUGCAAUUGCUAGGCAAACAUAAUUGGCCCGCGGCCUCGGCUCACAAGGAACAUGAUGCAUCAUGUUCAGCCAUGAGAUAGAACGUGAUUGUCUCCGGUCAUUUGCUUUGCUCCAUUAUUGCAUACGUGAUGUGAUGGCUGCCUUCGCAAUUAAUGUAACACUUUUUUUGUUUUAGGUAUUCAAAUGGUACAUUAUAAUUUUUUUAAAUAAUUAAAUAAUUAAUUCCUAAACAAUAAUCAUUCCAUCACUUUUUAAUUUUAUGAUACUAAAUUUAAUAUCACAUCAAUACAAUAAAUUAUCAUAUCAAUAUAAAUAGUGAAAAUUUUUACUACGUUAAUGAUUGGAUUGAUAUUAUUAAUUUUAAAAAAUAUAAAAAUUCAACUUUUACAAACUAUUAUAUAAAAAUUAAAUCUACUACUUUAACAACAUACAAGAACUAAUUACGUUAUUUGACGUUUUUUUACUCAUAUAUAAAUUGAGAUUAUAAAAAUAAAAAUAAUGCUUUCUUAUUUCAAGAUUCAAAAAUGAGAUUUUUAAAUCAUAAAUAUCUCGUUGAAAAUUAACAUUACAAAUUGACCCUAAUAUUUGUCCUUCUCUCUUGACUCAGAGUAAGGGUGGAUCCAUGUUGACACAAGUGAUGUCAUAUGACACCAUUGAAAUGUUAAAAAUUUAUACUAAUUACAUUACUUAUAUCAAAGUUUUUAUAUAAUUAAUAAUAUUAAUACACUUAUUAAUUAUUUUAAUUAUUAAUAUUAUUAUUUUAAUUAUGAUACUAUCCGCGUUUCUUACUGGAAAUGAGAGAAAUCUUUCGAAUACAGCAAAAGUUCUCAUAAUGAAACCCAGCCCCACGACCAUGACAGGUAUAAGCAAAACAACCCACUUGUCCGGCUCAUUUAGCUGAUUUAGACAGAAAGAGCGGACACCUGCCCUCCCUACGAGAUACCAACUGCUCAGAAUUCAGAACUUGUUCAAGAACUGACCUUCCCAGAACUUGCAAAACCCAGAUACUUACUGUCCCAAAAGACACAUGACCCUCUAAAAAUGUGACAAGUUGACUCUAUUGUUGGGGCAAUUAAAUGUUGCCCACUCCACCUGUCAGUAUAAAUACAAAGAGACAAACAACCACACUGAUUCCAUACUUAAAUUGGAUGGUAGCUUCAUAAUCAAGUGAAGGAUUUGUUUAAACCCUGCAACGAAAACACAGAAGAAAAAUGAUCUUAUUAUAGACUGAAAUUUUUGAAUUUGACCAAUGUGUAAGAUUGUCACAUAUUUAUUAAAUUAUAGUUAACAUAUCAAUAAAUUAAACUAAUUACUAAAUAGAUACGAACUAAAAUUUUCACUAUCAUCUAUCGAUGUAUCAAAAUAAUAAUUCAAAAUAUAAUAUCUCUAAUGAUUCAGUUAUACACACAACCAGACGGCAUUCCAUCGAAAAGGAAAAAUAAAGGAUAUGUUUUGUCCUAGAUAUGAACUAAUCUUAACAUUUCUUAUUUGGAUUCCAUGUGACAUAAGAUGAGUCAAAAUAAUUAUAUUACUUGGGAAAUUAAAUGCUUGGACUUUCUGAGACAGGACAUUGGAAUAAACCAAGAGGCUCAUGAGCUCUCGAGUCCUCCAUGAAUGAAUGGUUUGCAAAACGCCAAAUGUUUAGGUCCAGGCCAGCAGGCUGCCUGCUACCAUGGAACUCCUAUUUUGACUGCUUAAUAUAUUCUAUUUACUAUAAACUUUUUGCCAUUCAAAAAGUUCCUUAAGCUUGAAUGAGUUACAUCUUCUACAAUUUGGACAAUAAAAAUGAAUGUUCAGAAUUUCGAGUUUAGAAAGAGAUUAUCUCUUAUUACGUGAAUUCUAAUGGGUCUCGAUGUAUAAUUAAAUAUCACAUAGUUUUAAGUUACAAAUUUGAGCUUAAAAAAAUUAAUGAAAAGUUAAAGAGAGAAAAACAUUGGAAGAUGGGCAGAGUGAUGAUGAAGACUUUUGAUUAAUUAUUAGUUGAAAAAGUCCAAAAGAGUGAGGUCCCAGCAGGAGCGUACUGCUGGGGCAAGGAUAAUAUUGUUUUGCCAUUAUGCGUAUUGGCCUUAUAAUUUUCCCAAGUCACAAUCGUACGUCUCCUAACGCUAGUUCACUGCCAGCAUUGGAAGAUUGGAAGUUUCGCUGUCAGGGCCAUGGCUGCCUUUUCACUCAGCUGGCCGGUCUGAUAUUUUGUUAUUUAUUUCCCAAUUUUAUCUCUAUAUAUCUCACAUGUUAGAUUGAUUCCCCAUGAAGCUAAUGCUUGUAAGGGAUGCCAUACACGACUUUCUUCUUUAAGUAAAGCAUUAUCACAUAAAAAUAUGGGGAAAUGGUUGCUAUCUUCUUGUAUGUUUUGGUUGAGGCCCAAAUUAAGUUGAUAAUUACCUUUGUCUUAAUUUCAGAAUUAGUAAUGUUGGGAAAACAGAAAGAGAACAAUGGAUUGUUUUUGGAUGAAUUGUUGAAUGUCGGUAACUAUAAAUUUGUGAAAGUUGUAGUUGUGGAAUUAUAAAGGGCUCUAAAAGUCGUCCAAACUUAUUUAGUUACCAAUUAAUAUUAGUGGAACCCUACUUGACAAGAUGCUAUGAAUGACUUGCAAUUGUCUGGGUCUUAUACACUAAGUUGAACGCUGAGGUGCCCACAGAUUUAAGUCUAAAGCUAAAUUAGUCUAAAGCUAUGCUGAGUUUGGGGUCCACCCCAAAUUAGUAAAAAUUAGUAAAAACUCUCUAAAUAGACGAAAUCUGGCCUACUUUUAAUCUUUUUUAUAUGGUAGAAAUGUAUUAAGAGAGGGAAAAAAAAGAGAGAAAAACAUGAAUUUUUACAACAACUUAUUUAAAAAAAAUGAUGUUAUGAUAUUUAGAUCAUACGUACAUAAACGCAUAAAAUGACACUUUAAUGAUUAAAAUUAAAAAUUUUCAAUUCAAAUUCUAUGAUAAAAUUUAUAUUUUAUCAUAUGUAUAAAAUUUGAGAUAUAUAAAUUUAUAAUUUUAUAUGAUUACUCUUUAAUUACUUUUUUCACAAAAUUUUAAACCCAUCUCAAGAGAAGAUUAACUGUUUAUAUAAUCCUGAAUUAUAUGUGCUACAGAGGGUGCGGGUGAAACAAGAGCAGCGCAAUGAGAAGGCAAAAUUGAAGUAGACUUCUCUCUCUUAUAGAAAAGGAGGAGAAGCCACCGAACACGUGCUCAGUAAUUGGCUGUCCUUUCUCUCGUAAAUGACCCCAAUGCCACAUGCAAGUCUUUGCCCAAUUUUUGUUGUUUAACAAUCCCAAUAGUCCCCCAUGAUAGCAAUGGCCAAAGCGAUCAACGUCACCACUUGUAAUUCACAAAGGAGUUUACAUGCAUCGCCACCUCCAUUUUCGUCUUGCUUUUCCUCCCUGUACAAUUUUGGAGGUUGUAAAAAUCACUUCCUUUCAAGUACAAGGCGUGGAAGAUAAGUCUUUGCAAAUUUUUUAUUUCUUUGGUUUUUUGUACGAUGGAUAAGGUUUGCAUAAUUCUUUAAUUGCUCCUUUGCUACACUAUAGUUGGUUGUUGGCUUGUUGCUAAUCAUCCCUCUAAUCUUACAAAAAAUUAUUGAACACACAUCAUGAAAACUACGGAGUACGGACAAAUUUUCUUUAAUUUUUAACUUCAAGAAAGUUCACAUAUAUUAUAUAGAAAUUUUCUGUCAAAUCUUGAUACAUCACUCACUUAUGUAAAAAAAUUUGGUUAACUGACGGAGGUCUAUAGGCAUUGGCUGAAGAUAGUUUUAAAAAAAUUCAAUUAAUAUGAUAUUUUCGUCAGAUUCAUGAUGGAAAAUGCAUUAGUUAUAAUUUUUUUUUAAAAAAAAAUAUUACAUUAGUUGGUGCCAAGAGGAAUCUAUUACUAUUUUUCAUAAAAUUUUUGCUCUUAUAGUGACAUCUUAAAAAAAUUGAAUCACAUAGAAAUGUACUCCUUGUGGUACUGUCAAGUUCAGUGUUGACAAUUCAAUGAAGUGCAGCCCAAGAGAGACAGGAAUUGGUGACCGGCUUCACAAUUCAAUGAAAACCUAUUGGUUAUGUUGAUUCAAACCUUAUUGAGUUACUUGCUACUAUAGAAGUUUUUGUUAUUCUUGUUGUUUUUAAAUGAGACAAUUUUUAUCUUAAUUGAUUGAAAAUGAUUAAUCAAAUGCAGUUGACUGAAUGUUAAACUCCCAAACUUUUUUUUGGAGUCUAGAAAUUUUCUCCUACAAAUUAAAUAUUUAAAAUAUCAGAUGAAUAGUUGAAAAAUACAACAUAUUUUCUUAAUUGCAAGUAAAUUGACUGAUGGCUUAUUAUGACACUCUUCGUCAACAAAAGUUGUUGAUGGUGAUUAGUUAAAUUGUUGAUAUAUAUACGUAUUAGAAAUUUUUGUAAUUGUUUUGUUCUUAUUAAUUAUGUACUGGUUUGCUCCAAUACAUAUUAAUAAAGAAUCAUAUGCUUUUCCACACAAAAAAAAAAAAGGGUCAAUUACAAAAAUAUGUAUGAAUUAGGGUAAAUUACAUGCAUAAAGUUCUUGCAAAGUUAACAAGCAAAACAAAUGACUUUUUUGGAAACCUUUCAUUUAGAGAUGUAACUAUCAGCUAGAAAAUUCCAUAGUGACAUUCGAACAUCGUUAUCCUCUUCUCCAUUUCUUCUUUUAUUGAUCCGUUUGAUUAAAAUGUUUUGCAUGUGGCUAGGCAUGUAAGGUGAAAAGAAGGUUUGAACUGAUAUCACGAGAAUGUAGACAAAGUCUAUAUGGCCGUUUCGUCAUGUUGAAACUAGGGCUACGUUCUACAUUUUUUUAUUCCUAAGUAACUCUUUUGACAUGAGAAGGGUUGACAAAGCAUGCUGUUGAAAAUUGACAUGGAAGUAAUCGAUAAUUGAUAUUGAACAACUGUCGGUGAGAAACAAGGAAUAUUGUGAUAUAUAUAUAUAUACAUAUGGAGGAUCCUAUGACAAGGUAAAUUGUUAAUUUUCUUGCCCAAGGCCAAUGGUCAAGAAAACAAGUGUUUCUGUUGAUAUAGAAAGCCACUCACGUCAAUUCGUCCUUCAUUUUGUUUUUUUUUUUUGGGGUUAGUUUUCUGAUUAUUUUUAUUACAUAUAUAAAAGCAGCAAAACUCAUAAUUAAGAAGCACAAGCCGAGCAAUUAAUCUCUGAAAAUAGAUUUAAGGAUUUGUAUUUUCGUAUCUUAAUUUGUGUCUUAUAAAACAUAAAUUAUUAACAAUUAUAUAAAUAAAUACAAAUACAAAAUGAUUAAUUAAUUUUUUUAAUUUUUUUUAAAAUAUAUAUAUUAAAUUGUCAAAUUUUAAAUCAUAUCGAUACAAUUAAUACACAAAAUAAAAUUAAUUUAAUCAAAAUCCGUUUAAAUAUGUGUCAUGAACUUACGCAAAAUUGUCAAAGACUACCUAAAACCAUAAUGACAGCUCUCUCGCGUCAGGUUAACCACUAGAUUAGAAGAGGGUUCGCAUCAGAGACAAGUUAAUCCGUACAGGAAUUAGCUUCACAAAAAAACAUGCUUCAGUUCACAUUGCCACUCCUAGAAAGAGGAAAGCUAUGGAGAUGGUUGUUAAUUUCAUCAGAAGAUAAAACAAGUAAUUCGGGACAAAAUAUACAGAGAGAGAGAGAGAAUUCGGAUGAUAUAUGAAAUUUAAUAGUAAAAAAUAUUCCUUCUAAUUGAAAGACAUAAAUAGAUCAAGUAAAAGCGACAAUAGCUUAAUUCUCAAGAGCCCACAACGUGCAAGACCAAAUCUACAGAAGACAAAGACGUGACGAAGAUUUUCUCCAUGAUUUUUCAAUAAUUUCAAAUAUAGCUAUAAUUAGGGUGGAGUGACUGUUAACAGCCAUAGACUUUUUUUAAGCAAAUUUGACAAAAAUCAUAAAUGAAAAAAAUUUAAUUAGGCUUAACUUGCUGCCAGCUACUAGUUAUGAAUCACACGAAAGACUGACAGUGAUAUCAACUUUUUUUUUAAAAUAUAUAUUUUUUUUAAUUUUCAAGUUGGAUAAGUUUCGAAGUGUGACCAAGUGUCCAAACUUUGGCCAAAAGCCUUCACUUCGCUGGACUGUCGUUUUCCUUAUUUUGGCCUUGGGGUUGGUGGCAUGUUGAUCAUCGAAGCUUAAUUUUCAGGUCAAAAAAUGUGCAUACAUUCUCUCCUUGCCAGAUGCCCAUGUCCCAAAACUAUUAAUUAAUUCUCUAACAAAGGACAUUAUCCCUUUCUUUUGCCUUUUCUUUCUUAAUUUUGUUGUUUAAAGUAAACAUGACUUACCUAAUCAGUAAUCCUAGUCUACAUUGAGUUCCUGCUGAACUUACUGUACUUACGUGUUCACCGAGACAAAAGUCAAUUCAAAAGGCAAAAUAUUUUUAAAAAUUUAAAUAAAAUUUAAUUAUUUUAUUAUAUUUAAUUAAAAUUUUAUAUUUUUAUUUUAAAUUAAAUAAAUUUUUAUAAUUAACAGUUGAUUCAUUCUAACCCAUAAGAUAUAAAUGAUAAAUAAAUUUUAAUUACCAACCGUUCGUUAAUGUUAGUUAUAGGAAUUUUAUUGAUCGAUAAUAAAAAUAUAAAAAUUUAAUUGAAGAUAAUAAAAUAAUAAAAAUAAUUUAAAUUUUCAUAAAUGAUUUAAGAAUUUUUUUUAAAUAUUAUGUCUUAUCUUAAUGAAUUUUUUGUUGUGAAUUUAUAAGUUACCAAAAAAAUUGUAUAAAAAGUGCACUACAUUAAUAAGUAUCUAUUCCAUUUAAAUUUUAAUGACAUACAUUCAUAUAUCGUUUUAAAUGAUAUAAUAAUUCAAAGAAAAUGUAACAGAUCAAUCUCUUUAAUUAAUCAACACAAAAUUUUUUAUAUUAAAGGCUAGAUCCAGAAGGUCUUAAAAAAGGACAAUUUAAUGUCAAGAUUUUAAGGCAGAAUCAUAGAAAUCUUGAACGUGUAUAUCAAGAAAUAAAAAUCUAGCAAUACUUUUAAAACGUGCACCUCAUACAGCUGCCCAAUAUAAACCCUAUUUCUCGUAUUUAAAAACUUCACACAAAACCUCAAAUUUAUUUAUUUUUCUUUAUUUUUUGCUGUAAUCCAUGCUGAAGAUAUUAUUAUGCAUAUACUAAUAUAUUACCAGGAAUACAGCAUUGUCGGUCAUUAAACAAAAAAAAAAUUGAAGGGAUUAAAAGCCACCUCCCCCACAUUGCAAAGUGUAAUUAAUUGCAUGUACAAUUAAAAGAAGGACAAAUUGGGAAACAAUGAAUAAAACAAUAAACUUUAUAUUAUAUGGCCGAUUUAUUAGCUGUUAGCGGCGGCUGGCUCUUUUGGCUGGGCAUGCCAAUUAUGUGCAUCCAGUCAAUAUGAAAGGAAAUGGGAUCAAUACCCAUUAAUGAAUAAGGUAUCAACAUUUUUUUUAUGAUAAUUAAUUUGAUGCAUUUUUCUUUGGUUGUACUUGGAAAAUUGUUCUCUUCUGGCACGUUCUAGGAAAAACAGUAACCAUUGGAUUCAAAUUGGAUAAAUAAACUUUCUCUAAUCCCCACCAAAAUGUUGUUUAGGUUAGUGAUUUUAGAACAUAAUUAGGUUAAAUAUAAUACUAAAUUUUGUGAUGGAUGACACUUUAAAUUGCAAUCAAACUAAUUGAUUGAACUCGAAUUCCCUCUUCUCAAUCGAAAAAAUAAAUAAAUAAAAUAAAAAUGUGAUGCGAUGAAACGAAAUUAAUAAGUGUCAUUAAUCAAAGGCAAAAAUCGUAUCGAAGAUCACUGCCAUGCAUGUGAGUAGUCGUGGGGGACAAUGCUUAAUUGAUUUGAUGCUGAUAUGUCGAUCCAUCAAGGGCCAAUAAUAUUCCUUUGAAUUAUUAUUGUUUAAUGAUUGUUUUAAUUAAACGUUAAUUCAUCGAGAAAGCAAUAAACGUGGAGGGUCACAUAGUUUUGUCCUGUUUGUUUUACGAGAAAAUUUUUGCUGUCCUCUUAUAAGCACAUGAGUUUAAAUACUUGUUUGGAACAAAUGGGAAGACCCAAAACAGCUUCUUCCAUGUUUGCAUCGGCAUCAAUAAAUCAAGGAGGUUUAGCCUUAAUAGCUAAUAGACCAAUCAAAGAUACAUCAAAGACUAUAAACAGUUGAUAUGAUUAUUCAAAGACCAAAGCCAAUAAUUGUUUCUAUUGACAAAUAGCUCUCUUUCCAUGUAAACCAAUGAUUUCUACUUAAAUACAGCUCACGUAUACAUAGAAAACUAUGCAUCAAACGUUUAUUUUACAUCUUAAAUUGGAGAGAAUCUCUUUAUCAUCAAGUUGAUCUCAACCGUACACCAGUUGAGCUAAGCCUGAGGAUUAAUAAUUCUGCAGUGUCCUUGACUUCUGGAAGCUCAUGAUAAAUAAAAACAAAAAUCAUUCCAGAGCAUAGAAGCUGCCAGAAGAUGAUUCACACAGGGGCCGGUCACUUUGUAAAGUGCAAACAGUACGUCAUGAUGUAAUAAAAACCCCAAAAUUGCUUAGAACAAGAUGUGCAGAAAGGGCUAGAACUGAUUCAUGAUACAUUUUGCAGAAAGGAAAGAAAAAAGGGGGAAGAAGAACCCGACAGUGUUAGGUGAGGAUCACUUGAGUGUUUAAUUAUACAAGCUGUGCCAAGUGGCUACCCAAAAUUGAAAUGUUAGUGAGGAGAACUUAGAUGUAAGUGGUCCUUUGAUGACUUCAACAUGGAUAGUUACUAAAUUUUGUAGUCUUUCUUUAUAUUUGCCCCUUGGUUACUCCAUGAAUCCUACAUUAUAAGCAUUUGAAAAGGACAAGUUUUCCACCAUUUUAAUUCCUCCAUUCUACUGUUUUCUUUUUUUCCUCUUGUUUACUGUCUUCCACUAACCUAGCCUGUAUACCCUGUCUGUUCUUUCUAAUCCUUCCUCCAAAGGCAAUCAUAACAAAAAGUAGAAGCAAAAUUAUAUAAGAUAAUGUUUCCAUAUUCCUUUACCCUUUGGCCCCAACAACUCAACUCUACCUUUAACACACUCUGAAUUAGACUUUUCAAUGGUGUUACUUUACACGGCAUUGACUGUGUUAUAGAAAAACAGGGGAGAUAUGAUCUUAGGAUAUGAAAAAAAUGGCUUGAUUUGCUUCUCUCUCUUUUUUUCUUUUAUUUGUUCUCGACAAAGGGGGAUUUUAUUUAUGAAUGACAUGACUGACUUGAUCUAGAUUUGUGUCCUAACCACAUUACUUUAAAAAAAAAUUAGGCUUAAUUACUGUGACAGAGCAUUAAUUGUCCAAUUUCUUCAUUAUCAUAUUGAUCACAAUCUGACAGCUAAUUUAUGCAACAAUUAAAACUAGUUGAGAGUACCCUGAGAAGUUGACUUUCAGGCUCAUGAGGCCUGCAUUUUUCACAAUCUAGAUAGAAAUUAAGAAAAAAAAAAUUGGAGAUAUAUGGAGUAUUACAUAUAUGCUUUGUCUCAAAAUACAAGAAAUCGAUUAAUCUAUCUAUCAAAAAUGGAUUUGAAUUUGUCAAAAUACUGAUAUAAAUGACACUAAACACAAAACCCAGAAUAAAUUUAUGGAAUUGAAGUAAAUUUGAACAGGUUUUUGAGGGUGGUCCAAAAAGAGGAAGUAGCUGAUUAUAGGACAGCGGGGACAAGGCUGCUCGUGUUCUGAGAAACUUGAAUUAUUAUUUCUUGCACGAAAAUGAAAUUCAACUCAACAUAAAGUAUUAUUUCAUUUUUUUUCUCUCUCUCUCUUUUAACAACUUUUUUUUUUGUUUCUCUUUGGUGUGUAGCUUAAAUUUCCUGCAAAAGCUGCGGGGCCACCUGAUUCAAUUUCACAUGCCCCUGCGUCAUGAUUGAGAAAUCACAUGGAACAUGAGAAACCGAUAGAAAAAUUUAAAGCCUUCCAAUCAGUGAAUGGAGGGUGGGUAUAGACGUGCCAUUGUUUGCCAUAAACGUGCAUGUUUUGAUGAAUAAAAAAAAUUAGCCAGAAAUUGCACCGAAACCAGAAAAAAAUUCUAGAUAAUAACAGAACAGGUGGCCUGAAUCAUAGCUCUUCUGUAAUUUACUUGCAUGGUAAUAUGAACUGUCCGUCUUCCGACUUCGAUCCCUAUAUUCUGCUUCGGAUUUAUAGAGUUUUGGGGUUUUAUACAUUUUUGUGAACAAGGAUUUGGUGACUUUUCUGACAUCAUUGUUGAAAUUUGAUAUUCAUCAGAGGUUAAAAACUGAAAAAGGAAUAUUGGAAGCUGUCCAUGUGCAUGAAGGUAGGAUUAGCCGUUGGAUAAUGAAGGAAUAGACAUGAUCAAAAGGGUAGGAAUGUGCCACGAUUUACCUCAGCAAAUUCGUGGUCAAGUCAGUAUAGAAUUCCAGGCCAUCGUAGGCAAAUAAGCAGCGGCAGCAGCAAGCAGCCCUCUUUUUUUUUUUUUUUUUUCUGUUUUUCUACAUUUACUUUUGUUUCGUUUUUUCGUCAAGUUGUUGGGGGAUUUUUGAAUUAUUCUAUGGCUCUUACUGUUCCUGAAAAGAUGGUGGAAAUGGGAAAUUAAUAGACAAGAAAGAAUUGAAAAUAGAGAGGUGGAAGUGUUAAAUAAAUGAGCCCAGGUAAAUAGUAAUUUGAAAGAUAAAAAGUUGUUUAUACUUACUAUUAUACGAUGUUACAUUAAAUGAGCAGUUGGAGAUUUGUUCUGGGGUGAUCAUGGGGGAGGAAUCCUGAUGAUCUAAACCAGAACCUGAAUAAAAAAUUGAUCUAAGCCAGCUACAGAAAACCCCAUUUGCUACAUUAAUCUAAUCAAUCAAUAUUGAAUUGGUCCCUUCUGACAGCUCCCCAUCAACGACUACUUUCUGCUAUAUAUAAUCUCCGUUUCAUGCAGGCUUUUAUCUCAGCCGACACCCACCAAAAACAAAACCACCUUCGCCCCCCUCCCUCCUUCCUUUUCUCUUCCGAACAGGGAAACUCCUGCACAUUGCCAGAGGGUGGUGUUCCUCAGUGAUCAUCGAUGACAGGUCCGCGGGCCGACCCGGUGAGGGGUCGGUUUUGGCCCCAAGUGUUAGUGGCCUUGGCCAUUGUUGUUGUUGCAAGCAAUGUAGGUUCAGUGUCUGCAGAUGCUUAUCCAUACUCAUCACCUCCUCCACCUUAUGAGUACAAGUCACCUCCACCGCCAUCUCCUUCUCCACCACCACCAUAUGAGUAUAAAUCUCCACCACCACCACCACCUUAUGAGUACAAGUCCCCACCUCCACCAUCUCCAUCACCACCUCCUCCAUACCACUACCACUCUCCACCACCACCAAAGCAUGAAGAAAAACCCCCGUACUACUACAAAUCUCCACCACCUCCAUCCCCAUCCCCACCUCCUCCAUACUAUUACGAGUCUCCACCACCACCAAAACAUGAAGAAAAACCACCAUACUACUACAAGUCUCCUCCACCUCCAUCUCCAUCACCACCUCCUCCAUACUACUACAAGUCUCCACCACCACCAAAACAUGAAGAAAAACCCCCAUACUACUACAAGUCUCCUCCACCUCCAGUAAAGCCUCCACCAAAACCAUAUUAUUAUAAAUCUCCUCCACCACCAUCUCCUUCACCACCUCCACCUUACUACUAUAAGUCUCCACCACCACCUUCACCAUCUCCUCGACCUCCUUACUACUACAAGUCUCCACCACCUCCUCCACAUUACGUCUCACCACCAUACUAUUAUAAAUCUCCACCACCACCAGCUAAAUCUCCUCCUUACUACUACAAUUCUCCCCCACCACCAGCUCCUUAUUACCCUGCCCCUCACCCUUAUCCCCACCACCAUCCACUCAUAGUCAAGGUGGUUGGUAAAGUUUACUGCUACAGAUGCUAUGACUGGGGAUAUCCAGUGAAGUCACACGACAAGAAACAUCUUAAAGGUAAAAUUCUUUCAACUUUCCCAAUUUUCUAGCACUAUCAAACCUUAGUUCAUUAUCAUUCACCACAAAAAAAAAAAGCAAAAACAUUUUAGAUCAUUCUUAUUUCACAUUUUCUUUUUCAUUAGCUGGACUUUCACUUUGUUAAUUUCAAAUUUUUGUAGCACUUUGUCAUCUGCUUUAGAAGUUAAAAUAAAGGUAGCAAGAUCUUUACAAUAUUUUAAUUUAGAAGACCUAAAUCUAACAAUUGAAAGGAAUCAGAAUAUAUUCUUGUGGUAACAAAUUUAAUUUAAAAAACUGAAUAGGCUAAGAAAGAAAACAAAGAUUUUCUUUGUUUCUUAAUUAUAUGUUAAUUUGUAUCUAAAUUAAAACAACCCUUUUCUAUGAUAUAUAUAAUAUUAUAGUUUUGUUGAUAAUAAUAUAGUAUAUUAUUUGGGUUAGCUCAAUUAAGGAAAGAGUAAAUGAAAUGAAUAUUUUAUAUUCAAACCAUAUACUUUUAUUAUUUAAAAAAUAGGCUUGGUUGAAUACAAGCUCUCUUUGCCCAUUUUGUUGUGCAGUAUAGAUUAAGUUGCAAUCUUGGAGGAAAAUAAAGUUGUCCUGAUUAAGGGUUGCACUAAUUACAAUUGGAAUUAACGUAUCAAAUGCCUUAUUGAAAGUUAAAAUAAAUAUAAUUAUAUUAAUUCAUGAAAAGACGAAAUUAGUUAUUAAAGUUAGUGAUGACUAAAGAUAAUUCAUUAUUUUGGUUGACUUUUUAACAACAAUUUGAUACUAAAAUGAUUUGGCUUUUAUUAUUGCACAUGGAACAGGUGCUGUUGUGGAAGUAACUUGCAAUGUCGGUGAAAAGAAGGUUAAGGCCUAUGGAAAAACCAAGAUCAAUGGAAAAUUCAGCAUCACGGUUGAAGGAUUUGACUAUGCCAAAUAUGGAGCCGAGGCAUGCAAGGCCAAGCUCCACGCUGCACCCACUGGUUCACCAUGCAACAUUCCCACCAGUCUACACGAGGGCAACACGGGUGCUGAGCUCAAGGUGAAGUCAAAGACCAAGUACGAGGUUGUGCUCAAGGCUAAGCCAUUUGCCUAUGCUCCAAAGACUCCUUACAAGGAGUGUGAAAAGCCGAAGCCAAAGCCGAAGCCUCCAACUCCUUACUACUAUACUUCUCCACCACCACCUACACCCGUUUAUAUCUAUAAAUCACCACCUCCUCCACCACCAACAUACGUCUACAAGUCACCACCACCUCCAUCCCACCCAUACAAGCCACCAACUGAGCCAUACAAACCACCACCAUACUACUACAAAUCUCCACCUCCACCAUCACCCUCCUACAUCUAUAAGUCACCACCCCCACCAACCCCCACUUACGUUUACAAAUCACCACCACCUCCAUCUCACCCAUACAAGCCACCAACUGAACCAUACAAACCACCACCAUACUACUACAAGUCCCCACCUCCACCAUCACCCACCUACGUCUACAAAUCACCACCACCUCCAUCUCACCCAUACAAGCCACCAACUGAGCCAUACAAACCACCACCAUACUACUACAAAUCUCCACCUCCACCAUCACCCACCUACGUCUACAAGUCACCACCCCCACCAACCCCUACUUACGUCUACAAAUCACCACCACCUCCAUCUCACCCAUACAAGCCACCAACUGAGCCACACAAACCACCACCAUACUACUACAAGUCACCACCUCCACCAUCGCCUACUUACAUCUACAAAUCACCACCACCUCCAUCUCACCCAUACAAGCCACCAACUGAGCCACACAAGCCACCACCAUACUACUACAAGUCACCACCUCCACCAUCGCCUACUUACAUCUACAAAUCACCACCACCUCCACCAUACUACUAUAAAUCCCCACCACCUCCAUCUCCAUCCCCACCUCCUCCAUACUAUUACGAGUCUCCACCACCACCAAAACACGAAGAAAAACCUCCAUACUACUACAAGUCUCCUCCACCUCCAUCUCCAUCCCCACCUCCUCCAUACUACUACAAGUCUCCACCACCUCCUCCACAUUACGUCUCACCACCAUACUAUUAUAAAUCUCCACCACCACCAUCGCCAUCUCCUCUUCCACCAUACUACUACAAAUCCCCGCCACCACCAGUCCAUUCUCCACCACCACCAUACUAUUACAAAUCUCCACCACCACCAUCGCCAUCUCCUCUUCCACCAUACUACUACAAAUCACCUCCACCUCCUUCACCCUCUCCCACACCCCCAUAUUAUUACAAGUCUCCACCACCACCAGUCCAUUCCCCUCCACCACCAUACUACUACAAAUCACCACCACCUCCAAUAAAGUCUCCAGCACCAGUCUACCACUACAACUCUCCUCCUCCACCAUCACCAUCUCCUCAUCCUCCAUAUUACUACAAAUCCCCACCACCUCCAUCUCCAUCACCAUUACCCCCAUAUUACUACAAAUCUCCUCCUCCACCGUCGCCAUCUCCUCUUCCACCCUAUUACUACAAAUCCCCACCACCACCAGUCCACUCUCCACCACCACCAUACUACUACAAGUCCCCACCACCACCAUCGCCAUCUCCUCUUCCACCAUACUACUACAAAUCCCCUCCACCUCCUUCACCCUCUCCUCCACCACCAUACUAUUACAAAUCACCACCACCUCCAGUAGAGGCUCCGGCACCAACCUAUCACUACAAAUCCCCACCACCACCAUACUACUACAACUCUCCCCCACCACCCCCAUAUUAUUACAAGUCCCCACCCCCACCUUCCCCAUCACCACCACCUCCCUACUACUACAAGUCUCCACCUCCACCUUCCCCGUCACCACCACAUCCUUACUAUUACAAAUCCCCACCUCCUCCCUCACCCUCACCCCUUCCCCCAUAUUACUACCACUCACCUCCCCCACCAGUGACAUCACCUCCACCUCCGGUCUACAUUUACGCUUCUCCUCCACCACCAACUCACUACUAGGCUCAGAAAGAUCAACCACAAAAUUACAUCGUUCAUGUAAGUAAUAGUUUAGUUAAACCUAUCAUUAUUAGUUAUCAUCCAACGAUUUAUUUCAUAUUCUAAUUACUUUUCUGCAUUUAAAUUUCAGGU
rnacentral:lncRNA from 1 species